rnacentral:rRNA from 1 species
GACGAACGCUGGCGGCGUGCUUAACACAUGCAAGUCGAACGGUAAGGCCCUUCGGGGUACACGAGUGGCGAACGGGUGAGUAACACGUGGGUGAUCUGCCCUGCACUUCGGGAUAAGCCUGGGAAACUGGGUCUAAUACCGGAUAGGACUCCGGACUGCAUGGUCUGGGGUGGAAAGCUUUUGCGGUGCGGGAUGGGCCCGCGGCCUAUCAGCUUGUUGGUGGGGUGAGGGCCGACCAAGGCGACGACGGGUAGCCGGCCUGAGAGGGUGACCGGCCACACUGGGACUGGGAUACGGCCCAGACUCCUACGGGAGGCAGCAGUGGGGAAUAUUGCACAAUGGGCGCAAGCCUGAUGCAGCGACGCCGCGUGAGGGAUGACGGCCUUCGGGUUGUAAACCUCUUUCAGCAUCGACGAAGCGAAAGUGACGGUAGGUGCAGAAGAAGGACCGGCCAACUACGUGCCAGCCGCCGCCGUAA